CAACCCAACCUUUACUCGGAUCGUCCGGCACGUUCCUGCCGGUGAAGGAGCGAAGC
rfam:Kitasatospora griseola strain MF730-N6 RKJC_4, whole genome shotgun sequence.